GAUCCUCAGUAUGACGCUGCACCACGGCACGCUGUCACUGCAGAAGGCGCCGACUAAAACUCAAAUCCUGCUCGGGCUAUGGCGAAUUGCUGCUCCUAUGCUCUGCUACGUAGGGCAACGAUGCUCCUUCCGCUUGGGACUGGACAUGGACCUACUACGCAACCAUACAUAAGAAAUACCAAAUAACCACAAAAAAAAGCCUCAGAACACCCUGUAGGGCAACAAUGAGUGGGCACCAAGACCCCUCACGGACCUGCUACAUCUGCCCCUUCGCUGCACCUUCUCUGCUGGUUACCCACCUACACCGCGC